GCAGCAACCACCACCUCAGCCACCCUAACCCACCCCGUCCGCCACACCACUCCCACCUCCUCUGUUUGAAACCCUAAGCACCACCAAUCUCAUCCGCCACACCACUCCCAUCUCUGUCGUCUGCACACACCCUUUUCUCUCUCUAAACCCUUUCUUCCCCAACCUAAUCCACAUCCCCAUUUCUGCAAUUUGACACCAACCAAAGUCACCACCACCACUAUUUCCAGCGACAUCCAGUCACCACCACCACCAUUGAUUCUCCAUCCCCCAAAAACAAGGCCGCCGACUCGCCGCCAUCCUUCUUGAACCCAAAAUCUGAACAACGUAAGCCGAUUUGAACUAGAUCUCACCGGAUCUGUCAUGGCCCAUUGAUUCUUCGUUCUCGUUGCUGGUGUCUAUAAAAAGCGUGUGAAGAUCCGACGCCGAUGAUUAACUUAUGAUUUUUGUUAUUGUUGUUUAUAAAAAGCUUGUGAUUUUAGUUAAAUCAUAAAGUAAACUUAUGAUUUUUGUUAUUCAAGUUUCUGAUCUGAAUUAAAUUGUAGAGCGAUUUGUUUAUUGUAAACUUGAUGUGAAUAUAGUUCAAUCUUAGAGUAAAUUUAUGAUUUAUAAGAUGCCAUAG
rnacentral:lncRNA from 1 species